UUCAAUACUAUUUAAGCAAUUAAAUAGUGUGCACUUCUCUUUUAGUAAGACGUUGUGAUCCAUUAGGAAUUGAUUGUCCAAACAAUUAUUGAGCUACCAAUAGACUGGUAUUGAAGUUCAUAAUGAUAAAUAAUAUAAUCUAUAUGUUUGUAUAUAUUAUCUUGUGAGCAUACCAUGUACUGAUGUAGCUGCCUUAUGGAUUUUAAAGGUUAUAACAUUAAUAUGAAUAUAUUAUCCGUUUUUACGAAUGGAAUAUUGUUAUGUACCCGAUCAACAACGGAUUCAUUUGGGAUACCUUUGGGACCCGUCUUGAAACACGGACCAAGGAGUCUAUCUAGUAUGCAAGUAAAUGAGAUAUUAAAACUUAUUUGCGUAAAUAACUUAACUGUUUUUAAAUGGGAUUACGAAUUACAUUUUUAUAAAAUGUACUCCUCCAUCCCGGGGUAUUUUCAUCAUAUAUAUGGGUAACUAUAUAUAGAAAAUAUACCAUGAGCAUACUGGAUAUGACCCGAAAGAUGGUGAACUAUGCCUGAUCAGGUUGAAGUCAGGGGAAACCCUGAUGGAGGACCGAAGCAAUUCUGACGUGCAAAUCG
rnacentral:rRNA from 2 species